UGGGGAAUUUUGCGCAAUGGGGGAAACCCUGACGCAGCAACGCCGCGUGAGUGAUGAAGGCCUUCGGGUCGUAAAGCUCUGUCAGAGGGGAAGAAAUGCAGGGGUGCUAAUAUCAUCUUUGCUUGACGGUACCCUCAAAGGAAGCACCGGCUAACUCCGUGCCAGCAGCCGCGGUAAUACGGAGGGUGCGAGCGUUGUUCGGAAUUAUUGGGCGUAAAGCGCGUGUGGGCGGUUUGAUAAGUCUGAUGUGAAAGCCCCGGGCUCGACCUGGGAAGUGCAUUGGAAACUGUCAGACUUGAAUACGGGAGAGGGUAGUGGAAUUCCUAGUGUAGGAGUGAAAUCCGUAGAUAUUAGGAGGAACACCGGUGGCGAAGGCGGCUACCUGGACCGAUAUUGACGCUGAGACGCGAAAGCGUGGGGAGCAAACAG
rnacentral:rRNA from 1 species